AGGGUUUGAUCCUGGCUCAGGAUGAACGCUAGCGGCAGGCCUAACACAUGCAAGUCGAGGGGUAGUUACUUUCGGGUAAUGAGACCGGCGCACGGGUGCGUAACGCGUAUGCAAUCUACCUUUUACAGGGGAAUAGCCCAGAGAAAUUUGGAUUAAUGCCCCAUAGUAUGUAUGAAUCGCAUGGUUUAUACAUUAAAGUUCCAACGGUAAAAGAUGAGCAUGCGUCCCAUUAGUUAGUUGGUAAGGUAACGGCUUACCAAGACGAUGAUGGGUAGGGGUCCUGAGAGGGAGAUCCCCCACACUGGUACUGAGACACGGACCAGACUCCUACGGGAGGCAGCAGUGAGGAAUAUUGGACAAUGGGCGCAAGCCUGAUCCAGCCAUGCCGCGUGCAGGAAGAAGCAUCUAUGGUGUGUAAACUGCUUUUGUACGGGAAGAAACACUCCUACGUGUAGGAGCUUGACGGUACCGUAAGAAUAAGGAUCGGCUAACUCCGUGCCAGCAGCCGCGGUAAUACGGAGG
rnacentral:rRNA from 1 species